ensembl:lncRNA
UUUAAAGAGACCCUAUUAAGCUGAUUUUCCAGAUCAUAUCUUUUUUGUAGGGACCUACUAGAGAUUGAUUCACUUUAAUGUUCUAAAACCACACAAUUUUUCUUAUAUUACACAUUUUCUUCAGCAACCCUUUUCACGCUGCUUUUAGCUGCUAGCUAAAACUCCUAUUGAGUGGCUCUGCCUGAUGCUCUAUCAUGACUGAUGGCGAAGGGAGAGCGCGCUUUCAGUACGCAGAGUGCCAGGAGCUGGAGGAGGUGCGGGAGGAGGUAAGGCUUGCUGUACCGACAUCCUACAGGAAUGACGCCCAAGGUCAUGAAGAUGACCCAGGAGGAAGACGCCCGGAUGAUGAGGAGGAAGAGGAGGAGGUGGAGAGGACGAGAAGGAGCAGCAGGAGGAGGAGGAGGAGGACGAGCAGCAGCAGUAGCGUUCAAGGAGAUGGAGGAAAUGAAUGGAGUCCUGAAGUUCAGGGGGAUGAAGAACAGGAACCGGAGCUGGAAGUGGAAGUUGGACCAACACUGGGAGUUCGCAUCACGGCUCCCAUCCGUGAUCCAGACUGCGUCUCCGAGGAUGAGGAACAGCAGCCGUAUCCGGCCCUGGCCCCCAUGGCCUUCUUCUGCUUAAAGCAAACAACGAGGCCUCGCAACUGGUGUCUCCGCAUGGUCUGUAACCCAUAUC